UACGGAGGGUGCGAGCGUUAAUCGGAAUUACUGGGCGUAAAGCGCGCGUAGGUGUCUUUGUAAGCCGGUUCUGAAAGCCCCGGGCCCAACCUGGGAACGGCAUCCGGAACUGUCAAGCUAGAGUGCAGGAGAGGAAGGUAGAAUUCCCGGUGUAGCGGUGAAAUGCGUAGAGAUCGGGAGGAAUACCAGUGGCGAAGGCGGCCUUCUGGACUGACACUGACACUGAGGUGCGAAAGCGUGGGUAGCAAACAGG
rnacentral:misc_RNA from 1 species